rnacentral:rRNA from 1 species
CAGCCGCCGCGGUAAUACGUAGGGAGCGAGCGUUGUCCGGAUUUACUGGGUGUAAAGGGUGCGUAGGCGGGACUGCAAGUCAGGCGUGAAAUACCGGGGCUUAACUCCGGGGCUGCGCUUGAAACUGCGGUUCUUGAGUGAAGUAGAGGCAGGCGGAAUUCCUAGUGUAGCGGUGAAAUGCGUAGAUAUUAGGAGGAACACCAGUGGCGAAGGCGGCCUGCUGGGCUUUAACUGACGCUGAGGCACGAAAGCAUGGGGAGCAAACAGGAUUAGAUACCCUGGUAGUCCAUGCCGUAAACGAUGAUUGCUAGGUGUGGGGGGACUGACCCCUUCCGUGCCGGAGUUAACACAAUAAGCAAUCCACCUGGGGAGUACGACCGCAAGGUUGAAACUCAAAGGAAUUGACGGGGGCCCGCACAAGCAGUGGAGUAUGUGGUUUAAUUCGAAGCAACGCGAAGAACCUUACCAGGUCUUGACAUCCAACUAACGAAGCAGAGAUGCAUCAGGUGCCCUUCGGGGAAAGUUGAGACAGGUGGUGCAUGGCC